CAUCUACUCCUUCCGUCCCGUAUUAAGUGCCGACAUAUUACAUGUAUCUAGAUGUAUUUUAGUAUAUAGAUACGUCCAGUUUUAGACAAAUUUGAGUCACUUAAUAUGGGACGAAAGGAGUAUGAA
rfam:Brachypodium distachyon strain Bd21 chromosome 2, whole genome shotgun sequence.